AUUCCAGCAACAACACCAUAAAUUGCACCCUCUGGGAGGACUAUGCCAAACAGUUUUUUAAGUUUAACGAGGACAAAGCUGCGACAACUGGGCCGAUUGUUAUUUUGAUUCAGUAUGCAAAAGUUAAAGAAGCUGGCCAAUACCCUCUCUUCGUUACCAACACAUUCCAUGUUACCAAGCUCCUUAUCAAUGCAGAUUUGCCGAGUGUCAAGGACUUCCUUAACAGUUUCCCAAAGGAAUCGUUGCGUGUUGUUUCCACGCAACUAACCUCUCAGUCUCAACAAUACUCCCGCACAUCGACAAAUGAUAAUGUUGGAUAAAGUCAUCUGCAGAAGUUGCUGAAAGGGGCUAUUGCUGUACCACUUAGUGAGAUGAAGAAAAUCCGCGAGAUUACUUUUUGUGCUACUGUUGCAAAAACAAGAAAACUCAUUGCGUCUUCCCACGGAUGGUACUACCAGUGCUGCCAUGAAUGAACAAAAUCAGUUCGCGGUGACAAACCUCCGUACAAAUGUGAUAAUGGACAUUUUACUGAGGCGGAGAUCUAUAAGUACAAUCCGUUUGGGACCUUUGUCUUUGAUUCAUACCACCUCUCUAUUGAUGCUUAUUAUUAUGGUUUUUUAACAUUUGUAUCUAAUCCAAUAAACCAAAAAUAGAUAUAAGAUUGAAGUGGAAGGUUUCUAUUUGCAUACUUCUUGCAAAUUCAUUUUCUGGGAUAGAGAAUGUACCGAAAUCUUACACGUCUCUGCUACUCAUAUGCGGGAUACAAUGAUAAAGGUUGGUAUCACAGAUCCAUUAGAAUUCCCAUUAGAUCUUGAUGCUAUGUUGGACUUGGAUCUUGCUUUGAGGGUUAAAUGGCAGCCCAGUUGGGACAGCGCCUCAGUUAUAAUGUUCUUUAAAGAUGAUGAGUUUGUAAAACAAUUGAAGGCUCCUUGGGCGGAUACUCAGAUUAAAGAAAGCGUCGAUGAAGCCAAAACUGAUGCUGCAGAUGAUUGUGACGUUCCAACGUUAUUCAAUUUCAAAAACCAAAGCAUGUAUUGUUAGAGAAGUUGUUGUCCUAUACAUGUUCAUAACUUAUUUUUUAUGUUAUGUUUACAGGACUUAGAGAUAACAUCCAAACACAACCCAGAGCUUCUAACUCCCACCGCAAAAAGGCAGAGUCAUGGUGGUUCCAGCGAGUCGACAUGUGUAUGUGACGGUGAACUAUCUUCGACCAAAUUGAAGAAGAUCAUCAAGUUGGAGAACAACAAGUAGUCGUACUCCUACACGCAUAAAACAAUGCAAGCAUAACGUAUCUGUUUUGGCUACUCAGUACUAUAUCAUAUUAGGAGUCUUUUGGAUAUUUCAUUUUGGUUCACUGAUGACUUUAUCUUUGCAUGUCUGAUGUAAUUUUUGGUCCUGAAUAUUUAAAGCAUUAUAUUUCCCUUCUAAAUCCAUAUCUGUUACUAAGGUUACACAUGCUAAUUGUAGCAUUUUAUAUUGGAUAUUCCAUUUUGGUUCAA